UAACAAAUUUUCUUAGUUAUAUUAAAUAAAAAAACAACAAGAAACACAAUAAAAUAAUAAUUGUAAUAGAUGAGUGUUUAAUAUUUUGGAGAAAAGCGCGUAUUCCUACACAGUAUUCUUCAGACUGUGUUAUUAAGUUAAAAAUAUUGUAUGAGAAAUAGAGAAAGUUGGACAAAAAUAAAUCUAGAAAAACAAACACAAGAACAACAUUAUAAUAUUUUUUCUGAAGAAUUAGACAACCUCUUUGACAUUUCUCAUAUCGAAGCUCUGAAUAUGAUAAGUAUUGAAGAAGACAAACAGUUUUUACUGUCACAACUUAAAAAGGGCCGUCCAGGAGCAUGCUUGGUAUUGAUAUGAAGUUAAUUGGUAUUGAAAAACGUAAAAUUACUCGACAAGAAGAAGAAGAUGAUCGAAAGAAAAAAGAGAAGUUAGAAAUUGCAAAUUGUACAGGUAAUUAUUAAAUAUUACACAAUAAUUUCAGGACAUUAUAAGUAAGCAGUUUUUAUAUACCGAAGUAUUUUAUUAUUUAGCCGAAACUCAAUAUUAUAGCAGCUCUAGCUCGGAGAAAGAAGAUAUUGAUAUGGAGGAAAACGUUGAAGAAAUGAGUCAAUGACCUGGGCCUUCAAAAGAAGUAAAUGCACUAGAAGAUAUAUGUUGUUUUGUAGUUGAAUGUUAUAUUAAAAUGUGGUUUUCAGCUGCGAAUAUUAUAACAGCUCCUAUAAAUGAUUUAAUGUUAUUAAAAAAGUUAUUAAACUACAGUAAUAAUAAACUAGGAGAAGUAGCUAUAAAAAAAUGUAUAAACCAUUUAUGGUAUUUAAAUGAUGAGUGUGCUGUGUUUUCUUUAUUUGACGAUCGACUUGACAUUAAUACUAAGCAGCGAAUGGCAAAAAAUAUAUUAAAAGGUUAUGAAGAGAGCACGGAUGAAGAGCCAGAAGAAAAUGAAGAUUCAAAUAAAAAAUUAAUUUUAAAAUAUGAAGAUUUAUCAAAUUUUCUAGAAAAAGAUCUUUCUUUUUCGUUGUUCAACAAUUCAUAGAAAUUAUUCGAGCGAUUUAAAUUAAAUUCAGGUUUCUAUAUGAAGAUCCUACCACAUGGGAAAUAAAUAAUGAAUACAAUAACGCCAAAGAAAUAUUAUCCUCCAUAAAAAUAGUAAACCACAGAAUUUAACGACAAAUUUACAAGGGAUGAAAAUCAAAAGCAAUUUAUAUUACAAGUGGUUCAACAAUAUCGCCAGCUGUUUUAAAAAAUAUUCAAAUUAUAAAAACUAUUAUUGUAAUAAACAAUUAUUAUUUUA